AACGAACGCUGGCGGCGUGGAUAAGACAUGCAAGUCGAACGAGAGAAUUGCUAGCUUGCUAAUAAUUCUCUAGUGGCGCACGGGUGAGUAACACGUGAGUAACCUGCCCCCGAGAGCGGGAUAGCCCUGGGAAACUGGGAUUAAUACCGCAUAGUAUCGAAAGAUUAAAGCAGCAAUGCGCUUGGGGAUGGGCUCGCGGCCUAUUAGUUAGUUGGUGAGGUAACGGCUCACCAAGGCGAUGACGGGUAGCCGGUCUGAGAGGAUGUCCGGCCACACUGGAACUGAGACACGGUCCAGACACCUACGGGUGGCAGCAGUCGAGAAUCAUUCACAAUGGGGGAAACCCUGAUGGUGCGACGCCGCGUGGGGGAAUGAAGGUCUUCGGAUUGUAAACCCCUGUCAUGUGGGAGCAAAUUAAAAAGAUAGUACCACAAGAGGAAGAGACGGCUAACUCUGUGC
rnacentral:rRNA from 1 species